AAAGAGAGAGAAGGAGGAUUCGAAAUUUAAUACGUCUUUUUGGGUGCCCACACUCUUUAAGCGUUUAUAAAUCCCGUCUUUCCCGAUUAGGGUUAUGACGCGGGAAAGAUGCCUCUCAAGAAACCGUUACGGUAGACGGCUCUCGAGUUUCUCUCUGCUAGUGCAUCUUGGAGCACCACACACGACUUGAGAAAAGCAGCUCAAAAAACUGUUACUGGUAUGUCUCUCGAACUUCUCUCUAUGAUGCUGCAUUUUAUUGCAGAAGUUAAUAAGAUCUGGCUGAACCUGUGAUCAGUAGGUGUGGUUGCAGAGAAAUGCAGUUUUGACGGACGUGGAUGUUAUACCGGAGGAUCCGGUUCAGGUCGAACAGGAUUGGUGCAAAGACAGGUUUACAGACUUCCUGUACUCUGGUAUUCUUUUAAUACUUUGCGAUCAAAAACUGAGAUAUAGUUGUCGAGUUAAAAAAAAAUCAUAAAAGAAUGCAAAACGUGGGCAAUCUUGAGUUUCCGGUAAUCGGUGAGUCGAAAAUAAAGAUUUCAGGUGACGGGUUUAUUAAUUUUUAUGUGUACAUGAAAUCAAUACGACUAUAUGCAUUGCGUCUAUAUGCAUUGCGUAAGACUUGAUUAG